UACAGAGGUCUCGAGCGUUAGGCGGAAUCACUGGGCUUAAAGCGUGUGUAGGCGGCGGGCUAAGUACCUUGUGAAAUCCCACGGCUUAACUGUGGAACUGCUGGGUAUACUGGUUCGCUUGAGCGGUCUAGGGGCGAGCGGAACAAAUGGUGGAGCGGUGAAAUGCGUAGAUAUCGGGCGGAACACCAGCGGCGAAGGCGGCAUCCUGGCCCGUACCUGACGCUGAGGCGCGAGAGCGUGGGGAGCAAACCGG
rnacentral:rRNA from 1 species